GUGCUGGUUUCAGCAGCAUGUACACUAAAAUUGGAACAGAGAAGAUUAGCACGGUGCCUGCGCAAUGAUGACACAGGGGUGUUCCUUAUUUUU
ensembl:snRNA U6 U6 spliceosomal RNA